GUAUGUGAUGCGCGUCGUUUCCUUUAAGUUUUUCGUGUUUGCGGGUUGAUUUUUGCGUGUUUUGAGACAAAACCAGUGAAAAUUAGUUCGAUACGGAUUUCUGGAGCUGCUACGAGCCGUUUUUGAAGACAAGUAACUAAGAAGUCAUUUUUUGAAAAAAAUCACAGUGAGCUCAACCGUCGUAGCCCUAGCAACGCAACAAGCGGCCAUUGUUUGGCCAAAAUGUCCGGUUGCAACCUGUCAAAAUUUUUCUCCAACCAAAAUCCCCCGUGAGUGGACUAACCUGUGGAACGACUGAACGGGCUUGCAAAUGAGCUUAUUUUCGACUUUGCCCUUCUCGUCGACCCGCUCGAGCUCAUCAAACCUGUGUUCAGUUUUCGAACUCAGCCUGGAUUUCGGGAUUUCACCAAAUGGCUCAUCCAUUUCGAAAAAUUAACAGUUUUGUAUUCACUUCACACAGAUACACGAAUUUUAUUUUCACAAAA